GUCUAUGGGGUUCUGUGGGUUCCUAUGGGGUUCUGUGGGGUCUAUGGGGUCCUAUGGGGGUCCUAUAGGGGUCAAUGGGGUUCUGUGGGAUCCUAUGGAGGUCUAUGGGGUUCUGUGGGAUCCUAUAGGGUUCUGUGGGGUCCUAUGGGGUUCUGUGGGGGUCCUAUGGGGGUCUAUGGAGUCCUAUGGGGGUCCUAUAGGGGUCUAUGGGGUUCUGCGGGAUCCUAUAGAGGUCAAUGGGGUUCUGUGGGAUCCUAUAGGGUUCUGUGGGGUCCUAUGGGGGUCUAUGGAGUCCUAUGGGGGUCCUAUAGGGGUCAAUGGGGUUCUGUGGGAUCCUAUAGGGUUCUGUGGGGUCCUAUGGGGUUCUGUGGGGGUCCUAUGGGGGUCUAUGGAGUCCUAUGGGGGUCCUAUAGGGGUCUAUGGGGUUCUGCGGGAUCCUAUAGAGGUCAAUGGGGUUCUGUGGGAUCCUAUAGGGGUCUAUGGGUUCCUCUGGGUGUCCUAUAGCGAUCAAUGGGAUUCGACGGCGUUUUGGGACCCCCC
ensembl:lncRNA